rnacentral:rRNA from 1 species
CCGAGUUUACAACUCCCAAACCCAAUGUGAACCAUACCAAACUGUUGCCUCGGCGGGGUCACGCCCCGGGUGCGUCGCAGCCCCGGAACCAGGCGCCCGCCGGAGGGACCAACCAAACUCUUUUCUGUAGUCCCCUCGCGGACGUUAUUUCUUACAGCUCUGAGCAAAAAUUCAAAAUGAAUCAAAACUUUCAACAACGGAUCUCUUGGUUCUGGCAUCGAUGAAGAACGCAGCGAAAUGCGAUAAGUAAUGUGAAUUGCAGAAUUCAGUGAAUCAUCGAAUCUUUGAACGCACAUUGCGCCCGCCAGUAUUCUGGCGGGCAUGCCUGUCCGAGCGUCAUUUCAACCCUCGAACCCCUCCGGGGGGUCGGCGUUGGGGACCUCGGGAGCCCCUAAGACGGGAUCCCGGCCCCGAAAUACAGUGGCGGUCUCGCCGCAGCCUCUCCUGCGCAGUAGUUUGCACAACUCGCACCGGGAGCGCGGCGCGUCCACGUCCGUAAAACACCCAACUUCUGAAAUGUUGACCUCGGAUCAGGUAGGAAUACCCGCUGAACUUAAGCAUAUCAAUAAGGCCGGAGGAA